rnacentral:tRNA from 2 species
CGGCGUCGUGCGUGAGGACCUUGACCGCGCCGUGCUCGGCGAGCGCGGGGGCGGUGGCCUCGGCGCCGGAGCCGAGGGCGACGGC